rnacentral:tRNA from 1 species
GCGAGAGUGGCGGAAUUGGCAGACGCGCUGGACUUAGGAUCCAGUGGCGCAAGCUGUGCGGGUUCGACUCCCGCCUCUCGCACCA